rnacentral:miRNA from 1 species
CCCUUGCUUUCUAUCGCAACCA